CGAAAGCCUGACGGAGCAAUACCGCGUGAGGGAGGAAGGCUUUUGGGUUGUAAACCUCUUUUCUCAAGGAAGAAAAAAAUGACGGUACUUGAGGAAUAAGCAUCGGCUAACUCCGUGCCAGCAGCCGCGGUAAUACGGAGGAUGCAAGCGUUAUCCGGAAUCAUUGGGCGUAAAGAGUCUGUAGGUGGCACUUCAAGUCUGCUGUCAAAGACCGAAGCUCAACUUCGGAAAGGCGGUGGAAACUGAAGAGCUAGAGUACGGUAGGGGUUGAGGGAAUUCCCAGUGUAGCGGUGAAAUGCGUAGAUAUUGGGAAGAACACCAGUGGCGAAGGCGCUCAACUGGGCCGUAACUGACACUCAGGGACGAAAGCUAGGGGAGCG
rnacentral:rRNA from 1 species